UUGCAUAGUGUCUAGGGCACUCCUACCUGUCAAUUGCCCACUUACACUAUUAUACACUAUACACAUUGGCAUUCAUUCAUGCAUGAUUGCGUGAGAUUCCAAAACAAGCAGAACUAUUGGUCUCUCAUCCCUCCUUUUGCUAUAAAUGCCACCAUCCCUUGAAAUUAUUUUUCUUACAAUAAUAACACGCCAUAAUUGAAUGGAUUAAAAACAUAUUCACAUCAUUGUUUGCGAAAAGAAAUUGAGAGCUCAAUUACUACAAUUUUGGAUGACCGGGGGCUUAAUAUGUCACCAGUAUUAAAAACGCGUGACACGUUAUAUCCAAAACUAUAGC
rnacentral:lncRNA from 1 species